CGCGUAAAUUACCCAAUCCUGAUUCAGGGAGGUAGUGAACAAGAAAUAACAACUCGGGGCUCACGGCUUACGAGAUUGCAAUGAGAACAAAUUUAAAUACUCUUAGCGAGGACAAUUGGAGGGCAAGUCUGGUGCCAGCAGCCGCGGUAAUUCCAGCUCCAAUAGCGUAUAUUAAAGUUGUUGCAGUUAAAAAGCUCGUAGUUGAAUUUCUGAUUAUGGAUGUAGCGGUUUCCGUUACAUUUGUAGUCAUCCACAUGAGAACCUUUCUCGGCCUUCACUGGUCGGGUUGGGGGAUCAUGUACUUUACUUUGAAAAAAUCAGAGUGUUUCAGGCAGGCGUUUGCAUGAAUACACAAGCAUGGAAUAAUGGAAUAGGACUAGGGUCCAUUUUAUUGGUUAUUGGACCAUAGUAAUGAUUAAUAGGGACAGUUGGGG
rnacentral:rRNA from 1 species